UAGUUUUGUGUAAAAGUUAUCUGUAAUCUAUUUUGUCUUUAGUUUUGUGUAAAAGUUAUCUGUAAUCUAUUUUGUAUUCAGUUUUGUGCAAAAGUUAUCUGUAAUCUAUUUUGUGUUAGUUCUGUGUAAAAGUUAUCUAUAAUCUAUUUUGUGUUUAGUUUUGUGUAAAAGUUAUCUAUAAUCUAUUUUGUGUUUAGUUUGUGUAAAAGUUAUCUGUAAUCUAUUUUGUGUUUAGUUUGUGUAAAAGUUAUCUGUCAUGUAAUAUAUUUGUGUUUAGUUGAUAAUAAUAAUAAUAGGCUUUAUUUAGUCUUGAUUACAUGUUGAGUCAAUGACUCGUCUUACAUAUGGUCAAGUAAAAUGUUCAUUACUUACAACAUAAAUAUAUAAUAAUAUCUAUAUUCAUAAAUAUGCAAUACAUAUAGCUGUAAAAAGUUAAGUAGUAAUAUAAUGAUAGACAAUUAUCACAGUUAUAUUAUUUGAGAUUGCCAUAUUGUACAAAUGUUCCAGUUUCCUUGUAGCCUGAUCAAUCAUGCAGAGGGCUAUGCUUCUGUGUUGGUCAUAUCAACUCUUACCACGUCUACAGAGUCAUCAGCAUGAUUGAACAGGCCCCACAAGGAUUUACUAAUUCUAAUUAGAACAGAUAUCUCUAUCACAGUUUUAAGUUAUUUCAUCUAAAAAGUAGUAUAUUUCAAUAAUAAAAAAGUCAAAACCUAUUGCAUUACGACACCAUAAAAUACUUUUUAGUGCAUUUCUUAAAAGAUAAAAGACUUUUGCAGUUUUUUUACAUACGAUGGUAAAAUAUUCCAUAUGUAUGGACCUUGGUAGGCAAAAGAUUUUUUGAAUAUAUUUUUUUGAAAGAUGGCAUAUAAAAUACAUUCUGUGCUAAUGAUCUGGUAGUUCUUGUUUGAAUUGCGGAUGUAAACAAGUUAUUCAAGUAAUCUGGGCCAUAUUGUUAAGGACUUUAUGCAUCAGAAUAGAGUUGUUGUAUAAAAUCCGUUUUUUAAAAAGUUUUUCAAUUUUAGUAAUGUGGUUUUGUGAAGCAUUUCCCCAUAUGGUAAAACCGUAGUCGAAAUGGGGAUUAAUGAAACAAUUGUAGUUAGUUAGACAAAAUGAUUCGGUGAGAAAAGAUCGAAUACGUAUCAUUUGGAAAAUCUGGUAAAAUCACUUUUUUGAAGUUUCUGCAAUUUGUUUGUCCAAUGUUAGACAAUCAACUAUGGUAAUUCCGAGAAGUUUUUCUUGUUUUACAUUUUCUAUUGUUACAUCGUUUAUUGAGACAGAGAACUGUUCGGUUUGUUUAGAUUUGCGCUGAGAUGUUCCAAUAAGCAUACCUUUAUUUUUUUUCUAUAUUUACACACAUUUUGAAUAUAUCUGGCGUCAUCAUUUAAAUUUUGAUUUAUGUUCUCAACUGAUUUGCCUUGUGCAUGGGCGGCUGUGUCAUCCGCAUACAUGUUCCCUGUUGAACGUUUUGUUACUACAGGCAAAUCAAUCACAUAUAAGAUAAACAUUAGCGGUCUGAACAUUGAGCACUGGGGAACACCGACUGUGAAGGAUAAGGGAUGACUUUGAGAGGUUUUUUUUAAAUUAACGGUUUAAACACCGUCAUUGAUGUAACUUCCGAAAUAUGCCAUAGUGUUUUUGAGCAGCCAAACACUCUUAAUUUGGAAAGAAACAUGUUGUGAUCAACAAGGUCAAAGGCCAUUCUAAAGUCUAAAAAUAGAACCCCUGUUAAGUAUCCCUUAUCUAUCGAAUCGUACCACAUAAUUAUUAUUUUUUGCUAAAGCAGUCUGACAGCAAUGUUGAGCUCUAAAACCAGAUUGACAUUCUAAGAUAAGAUCAUGACUGCAUACAAAGUUGUGAAAAUGUUGAUGAAUAUGUUUUUCUGGACAUGUAGAUAGAAUUGGUAGUACUGAUAUAGGUCUAUAGUUACAAAUUACUUCGUUUUUCCUCUUUUUAAAAAGAGGACUUACUUUAGCAUUUUUCCAAAGACUGGGAAAGUUGCAAUGGGCUUGAUACAACAUUUCAAAAAAUUAGCUCCUAUAUUGUCAAGUCAAGUUGCUUUUGAAGUGUUUAUAUUGGCCGAAUUUUUUUCAACAAACUGUUCUUCAAUUUUAGGCAUAUCACAAGAGGCACCUUUAAGGUUUUCUUCAGUAAGUUGUUGAAGUGUACUCAAAUGUUCGGGGGUCCAUUUGUGUUCAGUAUAUACUGUAGUUCUGUGUAUUAUUAUUGUCACAUUUAGGUAAAAGGAGCCAACAGCUCCUUCACAGAAGUGAGGUACUCAUUCUGCUCCGUCACAGAAGUGAGGUACUCAUUCUGCUCCGUCACAGAAGUGAGGUACUCAUUCUGCUCCUACAGGUUUCUGUAUACAAUGUGUGAGAGCCAGAGCGGAGGUCUUUUUUUACAUGCCUAGAUGUUGCUUUGCUGGCUUUUACUGGUAUUCCUUAUAAGAGAGCGAUGUUGCAAGUUUCUCUGUGACCUGUAACGAUGCUUUUUUAUGUUGAUGUUGCUUAAUACAGAGAGCCUGGAAUUGUACUACGGUGUUGAAUUGUGUUUUAUCGACGACCCACUCUACUUUUUCUCUUAACUCGUGUAUUGUGGCGGGUGUCUGACGCUAUCUCGAUGAAACCUACCGAGGGCCGGGACUCUCAUUCGACAGUUCCGCAGUUUUCGCUACAAAGGAGACAUUUUGUGUGUAUUUCAUAUAUUGAAUAAUAAAAAUAAAUAGCCAA